AAUCUUCCACAAUGGACGGAAGUCUGACGGAGCAACGCCGCGUGAGCGAAGAAGGUUUUCGGAUCGUUAAGCUCUGUUGUAAGGGAAGAACACGUACGGGAGUCACUGCCCUUCCCUUGACGGUACCUUCCCAGAAAUCCACCGCUACCUACGUGCUCGCCGCCGCGGUAAUAGGUAGGUGGCAAGCGUUGUCCGGAAUUAUUGGGCGUAAAGCGCGCGCAGGCGGUGCUUUGAGUCUGAUGUGAAAGACCACGGCUCAAACGUGGAGGGUCAUUGGAAACUGGAGGACUUGAGUACAGAAGAGGAAAGCGGAAUUCCACGUGUAGAGGUGAAAUGCGUAGAGAUGUGGAGGAACACCAGUGGCGGAGACGGCUUUCUGGUCUGUAACUGACGCUGAGGCGCGAAAGCGUGGGGAGCAAACAG
rnacentral:rRNA from 1 species